CCCCGCACACUGAAACAGAAAAUCUCGGAAACCGAAAAUCUCGUAACACCGUUCGACCAGUUCACCUGAUGCGCGUACACCUUCAAACAGAAUUAACAGGGAACUUCAACUCAACGCUCCCAAUGCUGAUCUUGAAGAAGUUGUCAAGGAGGCUGAACAAGUCCUUCAAAGGUUCAACCCUUCACAGCUGAAAGGGAAGACCAAAGGAAGGCCUGUCAUGGGAUUUGAAUUUGACCAUCUUGUG